AAAACUCUAAUUAAACACAACACCAUCAAUCAUCAUAUAUAGAAUAGAGAUGGAUUUUUGGAUUGAUAGAAACAAAUGAAAAGGUAAAAAAGAUAGAUCUUUGGAUUGAUAGAAAGAAAGAAAAGGUAAAAAGGAGACGAAAAAUUAAAUAUGGAAUAGAGAGAAGAGAGUAAAGAGAAGAAGAAGAAGAAACAAAUCAAAAAUUUUGUUUUUGUUGAAUUGAAAGAAAAAUAAAUUGAAGAUGAAAAAAAUUUGAUCUGAGAAAUUAGAUUUUUUU
rnacentral:sRNA from 1 species